GGCCAGGUAGCUCAGUUGGUAGAGCACCUGACUGAAAAUCAGGGUGUCGGCGGUUCAACUCCGUCCCUGGCCACCA
rnacentral:tRNA from 2 species